rnacentral:rRNA from 1 species
CUACGGGUGGCUGCAGUGGGGAAUAUUGGACAAUGGGCGCAAGCCUGAUCCAGCAAUACCGCGUGUGUGAAGAAGGCCUGCGGGUUGUAAAGCACUUUCAAUUGUGAAGAAAAGCUCGAGGUUAAUACCCUCGGGUCUUGACGUUAACUUUAGAAGAAGCACCGGCUAACCCUGUGCCAGCAGCCGCGGUAAUACAGGGGGUGCAAGCGUUAAUCGGAAUUACUGGGCGUAAAGCGCGCGUAGGCGGUUUGUUAAGUCAGAUGUGAAAGCCCUGGGCUCAACCUGGGAACUGCAUUUGAAACUGGCAGGCUAGAGUAUGGUAGAGGAAAGUGGAAUUUCGGGUGUAGCGGUGAAAUGCGUAGAUAUCCGAAGGAACAUCAGUGGCGAAGGCGACUUUCUGGACCAAUACUGACGCUGAGGUGCGAAAGCGUGGGGAGCAAACAGGAUUAGAUACCCCUGUAGUC